rnacentral:lncRNA from 1 species
CGGCUUCAAAUGAACUUUCUUAUACAUCAAAGUUUAAAGUCUGGGCCUUUAAUAAAGCUGGCUAUUACAUGAGACUUUAAUCUUCCUAACUUAAUGGCUCCAUCAUUCUUCCAGGUCCCACCAUCUCUAGAAGAGGCUUUGAACAGGAACCAGAAGUCAGGUAGAACAUAAGAGAAUGAGACCCUCAGAGAAGGAGGCAGCCAAUCACCUGGUGGUUGAUGAGGAGACAAGAAUAACUGUAAAACAACAUAUGAGGAUGCUGAUGCUACAUGCCAGAAUCCCAUCACUCUUAGAAAAAAGAAAAAAAAGGAUUACAUCUUCUUCUCUGUUCAUAUUGGAUUUCAUAUGCUAAAGAGUUCUCUCUGCUGCUGCCCUCCAAGGCCAAAGGGUGUUUCAAUUAUCACCAGACAUCCAAGAAGCAAAAUCAUGGUAAUGUAUGUUUUACGUGUGGUCAUCUUGUACAUUUUAAAUGACAAUGUCUGCAAAGACAGCAGAAUGCUCUUCAGGUCAUGAUGGCUAGGAUUCCAAGUUUAUGCUCUCACUAUAAACAAAGAAAUCAUUAGGUAAAAGAGUUAUGAUGCCUGAGUGGUUGUGAAGAAUGAUGUUUGUCUCAGGGAGAAUGGGUCAGCCCAAGGCACCACCAAAAUUUGGAGUGCAUCCAAUAAUAACUCAGAAGUAUCUUCAGGAAUAAAUGUAUAUCCAACAGCCCUCAUUAGUUCAUAAUAUUCCCAUGCACCCAAACAUUCCAGGUCAACCUUGGACAGCCCCAGAUAUUACUCCAGUGCUGCCUCCAGAUUGAUUCUAACACCAGAAAUUAGGUCUGAACCAUACCCCUGAUAAAUUUGGGCAUUUGCCAUAGGAAGUAGCUCAAAUGAUUACAGGCAAAAGUAGUGUGACCGUGAAGGGAUUGCAGAUUUUUCUAGGAGUUAUGGAUUGGAAUUAUAUUGGUCAGAUUAACCUGAUGGCUUCUGCUCCUGCUUAUAUUUAAACUUUAGGAAAAGGCCAAUGGAUUGCUCAAAUGUUAUUUAUUCCAGUGCCAUUGUUUAGCUGGCAGUUAAUUUAUGGAUUUCUGGAAAUGGUAUGUGAAAAGAUGCAGGAAACCACUGAAAUUUUAAAUUCCACCUAUAAUCUAAUAGACAAGAUUUGGGGUAUUUCUCCCAGAGCUGCCACAAAAUGUCAUACUGACCUGACCCCUAUAACCUGGCUUUCUGAGAAUCCCAUUUGAGUGAAUGAACAGACCCUUAAAAAAGAAAAGAGUAGCCACCCAGUCAUUUCUCUUGGAACAACCGUCUAUGAAAUUCCCCUAUUUUGGUGAUUAAGAAAAUAUCAGAAAAAUGGCAUUUGCUGCAGAAUCUAGGUGCCACCCCCUUCCCCUGUGGAUCAUCAGCUGCUAUUGGUCCAUGAGGGCAAAGGGAACAGAGACAAUGGCUGGGGAGUUUGGAAGCACUGGCGGUAUAUAUGGAAAUAAUGACACCAGGACCAGUUGUGCAAAGGAAGAUCAACUUUACUUGGGGUGAUUCAAGGCAUACACAAUUUUGGGGACAGGAGUGAGAAUAUCUAGGAUUUGCAUAGGUCAUUGGCUGAAGGUUUACAGGACCAAAAUGUGUCAUGAACAUAAAGAUGUAUUCCAAGAAUCUCAGGUUAGUACUUAACUGCUUUUUAUCAGGAGAGAGUUGAAUUUGUAAUCUAAGGCUAUGUUAGACUCUGCAUGUAUAAGCAUGUGGGUUUUUUAACACCUCAGACAAGGUCAGAGAAAGGGGAGCACCACCAAUGUAGGCAGUCUGCCAUAUUGCACAGAGCUCAGAACACUUGGUAGCAUUCGACUUUAAUAAGCAGGGUUUUCCCACAGAUCUAUGUUGAGUAAACAUCAACAUGGCCCAUUAGAAGAAAACCAUAUUUGCCACCCAGGAGUCACCCUUGGAACACCUGGAAAAAGCAUACUGUGACAGUCCAUGGAAUUUAUCUAUUUUGUGAUUAAGAAUGAUCAGGAAAAUGGCAUUUUCUGCAGGAUCCAGGUUCAGUAAAUGCCACCAUGAAGUUAAUGGGACCUUUACAACCAAGCCUUCCAACAACUGUUACCAUUUCCUAAGGAACAGUCCUCUUAUAAUGUUAGACUUAAUGGACUGUUUCUACACGAUACCAUUGUAUCCUAAAGAGUGUUCAAAAAAUGCUUUUAGUUUACCUUCUCUUAACUUGUCUGAAACAAUAAAAAGAAAUCAUUGGGACAUUUUACCUUAAAGAAUGACAAGUAUCCCAAUUUUGUGUCAAAAAUUUCUGCUGGGUGGUGGUGGCGCACACCUUUGAUCCCAGCAUUUGGGAGGCAGAGGCAGGCGGAUUUCUGAGUUUGAGGCCAGCCUGGUCUACAGAGUGAGUUCCAGGACAGCCAGGGCUACACAGAGAAACCUUGUCUCGAAAAAAAAAAUCUUCCUGCUUGCAAACUUCAAUAAAAUUCAACACACUACUCCAAUCUUACAUCUAGGAAAAUUGAUAGUCUUCAGCAAUCAUUCCUCAAGGUGUAGAGAUCUUACACUAAAUGGUUUUUCAAAAACUGCUAGUGGAUGGGAAUUGAGUUAGAUGCAUGUUAAAAAUUCUGACAUUAUAACUCCAACCUUUAUUUGAUGUGCUUUAAGGGAAUAUUGAUCCUUCGUCUCCUAGAGAAUGCAUUGAUUGUGCAUAUUUAGCACUGGAGCAAGGGGAAGUGCACUUAAAAAGGCUCCUUUUAUGCAUAUCUCAUUUCUCUUUACUCUUCCUAUGUUGUUAGUUAUUUUUUCUCCCAGCAUCUUUAUGGAAUUAUUCUGGGAUAAUGAGCCAAUUAAUGAUUCCAUGCUGGUUUAUGGUUUUGGAACUGUCUAGGUACCUCUCAGAAUAAACAAUGAUUUGGUCAAGAGCAACUAUAAAUCUGUAUUCCUUAUGAUAAAAACAACUGGAAACUUUAAUGUUUGUGUCAGAUAACUUAGCACUGGCUUUUGCAGCAUAUCCUGCCCUGACCUGCAGGGAUAAUCAGUGGGGACCCAGGGCAAGGGAGUGAGAGAGUGGGAGGGAAGGAGACAGGAAGAAUGAGAGCAAGUCAAUCAUACUGAUCAAGGUCUAAAAACGUUAUUCAAGAGUGGCAAUAUAAGCAUAAGCAAGAUGAGGCUGCAAGGGAGGGGGGAAGAGCCCGGGGACUCUCUGAAAGUCGGGUGGCAAUCUUCAGCUCCUGGAACCAUCAGACACAGUGUCCUCUUUUCCCAUAAACAUUCUUACUGCUAUGACCACGAAUGUUCUCUCAGGAUUGUUUAUAUAAGCUAGGAAAUACCCACAAGGCCAUGGCUGAGGCCAUGGCUCCCGGCAAUAUCCCUUUCAAAUUGAUAGCCAUCCUUUUUGCAGUAAACUUACUUAUUUUAAUCAAAAUGUAAUAUUCUAUUUUCUAACAGAACCCAACAUCAGCAGAUACCCUCUGCACAAGUAGUGUUUACAGAUGCCACAAAACAUGGUAA